rnacentral:rRNA from 1 species
ACGAAAAAUGAAUACCAAGUCUCAAGAGUGAACACGUAAUUCAUUACGAAGUUUAAUUCAUUGAGCAUCAAACUUUUAAAUUGAAGAGUUUGAUCAUGGCUCAGAUUGAACGCUGGCGGCAGGCCUAACACAUGCAAGUCGAACGGUAACAGGAAGCAGCUUGCUGCUUUGCUGACGAGUGGCGGACGGGNNNNNNNNNNNNNNNNNNNNGAGUAAUGUCUGGGAAACUGCCUGAUGGAGGGGGAUAACUACUGGAAACGGUGGCUAAUACCGCAUAACGUCGCAAGACCAAAGAGGGGGACCUUCGGGCCUCUUGCCAUCAGAUGUGCCCAGAUGGGAUUAGCUUGUUGGUGAGGUAACGGCUCACCAAGGCGACGAUCCCUAGCUGGUCUGAGAGGAUGACCAGCCACACUGGAACUGAGACACGGUCCAGACUCCUACGGGAGGCAGCAGUGGGGAAUAUUGCACAAUGGGCGCAAGCCUGAUGCAGCCAUGCCGCGUGUAUGAAGAAGGCCUUCGGGUUGUAAAGUACUUUCAGCGGGGAGGAAGGUGUUGUGGUUAAUAACCGCAGCAAUUGACGUUACCCGCAGAAGAAGCACCGGCUAACUCCGUGCCAGCAGCCGCGGUAAUACGGAGGGUGCAAGCGUUAAUCGGAAUUACUGGGCGUAAAGCGCACGCAGGCGGUCUGUCAAGUCGGAUGUGAAAUCCCCGGGCUCAACCUGGGAACUGCAUUCGAAACUGGCAGGCUUGAGUCUUGUAGAGGGGGGUAGAAUUCCAGGUGUAGCGGUGAAAUGCGUAGAGAUCUGGAGGAAUACCGGUGGCGAAGGCGGCCCCCUGGACAAAGACUGACGCUCAGGUGCGAAAGCGUGGGGAGCAAACAGGAUUAGAUACCCUGGUAGUCCACGCCGUAAACGAUGUCUACUUGGAGGUUGUGCCCUUGAGGCGUGGCUUCCGGAGCUAACGCGUUAAGUAGACCGCCUGGGGAGUACGGCCGCAAGGUUAAAACUCAAAUGAAUUGACGGGGGCCCGCACAAGCGGUGGAGCAUGUGGUUUAAUUCGAUGCAACGCGAAGAACCUUACCUGGUCUUGACAUCCACGGAAGUUUUCAGAGAUGAGAAUGUGCCUUCGGGAACCGUGAGACAGGUGCUGCAUGGCUGUCGUCAGCUCGUGUUGUGAAAUGUUGGGUUAAGUCCCGCAACGAGCGCAACCCUUAUCCUUUGUUGCCAGCGGUCCGGCCGGGAACUCAAAGGAGACUGCCAGUGAUAAACUGGAGGAAGGUGGGGAUGACGUCAAGUCAUCAUGGCCCUUACGACCAGGGCUACACACGUGCUACAAUGGCGCAUACAAAGAGAAGCGACCUCGCGAGAGCAAGCGGACCUCAUAAAGUGCGUCGUAGUCCGGAUUGGAGUCUGCAACUCGACUCCAUGAAGUCGGAAUCGCUAGUAAUCGUGGAUCAGAAUGCCACGGUGAAUACGUUCCCGGGCCUUGUACACACCGCCCGUCACACCAUGGGAGUGGGUUGCAAAAGAAGUAGGUAGCUUAACCUUCGGGAGGGCGCUUACCACUUUGUGAUUCAUGACUGGGGUGAAGUCGUAACAAGGUAACCGUAGGGGAACCUGCGGUUGGAUCACCUCCUUACCUUAAAGAAGCGUACUUUGCAGUGCUCACACAGAUUGUCUGAUGAAAA